UGGCGGCAGGCCUAACACAUGCAAGUCGAGCGCACCCUUCGGGGCGAGCGGCGGACGGGUUAGUAACGCGUGGGAACAUACCCUUUUCUACGGAAUAGCCUCGGGAAACUGAGAGUAAUACCGUAUAAGCCCUUCGGGGGAAAGAUUUAUCGGGAAAGGAUUGGCCCGCGUUAGAUUAGAUAGUUGGUGGGGUAAUGGCCUACCAAGUCUACGAUCUAUAGCUGGUUUUAGAGGAUGAUCAGCAACACUGGGACUGAGACACGGCCCAGACUCCUACGGGAGGCAGCAGUGGGGAAUCUUAGACAAUGGGCGCAAGCCUGAUCUAGCCAUGCCGCGUGUGUGAUGAAGGCCUUAGGGUCGUAAAGCACUUUCGCCAGAGAUGAUAAUGACAGUAUCUGGUAAAGAAACCCCGGCUAACUCCGUGCCAGCAGCCGCGGUAAUACGGAGGGGGUUAGCGUUGUUCGGAAUUACUGGGCGUAAAGCGUACGUAGGCGGAUCAGAAAGUAUAGGGUGAAAUCCCGAGGCUCAACCUCGGAACUGCCUUGUAAACUCCUGGUCUUGAGUUCGAGAGAGGUGAGUGGAAUUCCAAGUGUA
rnacentral:rRNA from 1 species